rnacentral:rRNA from 1 species
GAUGAACGCUGGCGGCGUGCCUAAUACAUGCAAGUCGAGCGAACAGACGAUGAGCUUGCUCCUCUGACGUUAGCGGCGGACGGGUGAGUAACACGUGGAUAACCUACCUAUAAGACUGGGAUAACUUCGGGAAACCGGAGCUAAUACCGGAUAAUAUAUUGAACCGCAUGGUUCAAUAGUGAAAUACGGUUUUGCUGUCACUUAUAGAUGGAUCCGCGCCGCAUUAGCUAGUUGGUAAGGUAACGGCUUACCAAGGCAACGAUGCGUAGACGACCUGAGAGGGUGAUCGGCCACACUGGAACUGAGACACGGUCCAGACUCCUACGGGAGGCAGCAGUAGGGAAUCUUCCGCAAUGGGCGAAAGCCUGACGGAGCAACGCCGAGUGAGUGAUGAAGGUCUUCGGAUCGUAAAACUCUGUUAUUAGGGAAGAACAAAUGUGUAAGUAACUAUGCACGUCUUGACGGUAACUAAUCAGAAAGCCACGGCUAACUACGUG